rnacentral:rRNA from 1 species
GACGGGGGGGGCAAGUGUUCUUCGGAAUGACUGGGCGUAAAGGGCACGUAGGCGGUGAAUCGGGUUGAAAGUGAAAGUCGCCAAAAACUGGCGGAAUGCUCUCGAAACCAAUUCACUUGGGUGAGACAGAGGAGAGUGGAAUUUCGUGUGUAGGGGUGAAAUCCGCAAAUCUACGAAGGAAGGCCAAAAGCGAAGGCAGCUCUCUGGGACGGUACUGACGCUGAGACGCGAAAGCGUGGGGAGCAAACAGG